AUUGAACGCUGGCGGCAGGCCUAACACAUGCAAGUCGAACGGUAACAGGAAACAGCUUGCUGUUUCGCUGACGAGUGGCGGACGGGUGAGUAAUGUCUGGGAAACUGCCUGAUGGAGGGGGAUAACUACUGGAAACGGUAGCUAAUACCGCAUAACGUCGCAAGACCAAAGAGGGGGACCUUCGGGCCUCUUGCCAUCGGAUGUGCCCAGAUGGGAUUAGCUAGUAGGUGGGGUAACGGCUCACCUAGGCGACGAUCCCUAGCUGGUCUGAGAGGAUGACCAGCCACACUGGAACGGAGACACGGUCCAGACUCCUACGGGAGGCAGCAGUGGGGAAUAUUGCACAAUGGGCGCAAGCCUGAUGCAGCCAUGCCGCGUGUAUGAAGAAGGCCUUCGGGUUGUAAAGUACUUUCAGCGGUGAGGAAGGGAGUAAAGUUAAUACCUUUGCUCAUUGACGUUACCCGCAGAAGAAGCACCGGCUAACUCCGUG
rnacentral:rRNA from 1 species